rnacentral:rRNA from 1 species
CCUACGGGAGGCAGCAGUGGGGAAUAUUGGGCAAUGGGCGCAAGUCUGACCCAGCCACGCCGCGUGCAGGAAGAAGGCUUUCGGGUUGUAAACUUCUUUUCUCAGGGACGAAGAAAGUGUCGGUACCUGAUGAAUAAGCCACGGCUAACUCCGUGCCAGCCGCCGCGGUAAUACGUAGGUGGCAAGCGUUCUCCGGAUUUAUUGGGUGUAAAGGGCGUGUAGGCGGGAGCGCAAGUCAGAUGUGAAACCUCAGGGCUCAACCCUGAGACUGCAUUUGAAACUGUGUUUCUUGAGUGCUGGAGAGGAAAUCGGAAUUCCGGGUGUAGCGGUGAAAUGCGUAGAUAUACGGAGGAACACCAGUGGCGAAGGCGAAUUGCUGGACAGUAACUGACGCUGAGGCGCGAAAGCGUGGGGAGCAAACAGGAUUAGAUACCCUAGUAGUC